CUGCCCGACAGCCGCCACCCAUGGCUUCGGCCUCUCCCCACGUAAGCUCCGAUGGUGACGAACCAAAAUGCUGAUAAUGAAUAACCUGCAAGCUUUUGGAGUUGCCUCCAAGAGAUCCAAGAUAAGAUGGAGUUAUUGCAUUGGACUUGAAUUGGUUUGAACUUUGAAUCAUGAAGAGUUGAAAGACAGUGGUCACAAUGCCUUCUAAGCUACCUCAUUUAGCACGUAGUACUUUAAUAUUUGGGCCAUUAAGUUGUUGUCUUAUUGAUGUUGUAAACUUUUGGCUGGUUGAGAUACUUUUGGAUAUUUUGCUCAAAGAUUGAUGUACUUGACAAAGUGACAAGUGA